AUGAUUAGAGAAGAAGGUGUUCUUCUGUGUAAUUAAUUGUCAGAAUUUUUCAUUAUGGUUUUCGCCCAUUUUUGUUUCGGUGAACCCACGACUGGUCCAUGUUGGGAGUGUAAUCAUGUUCUUGUAGUUCACUCCCUUUAAAUUGAAAAUUCAUAGCACAAAACUCGACUAUAAUUCAAUUGAUUUCACAGAAGAACACCUUCUUCUCUAAUCAU
rnacentral:misc_RNA from 1 species